UACGGAGGGGGCUAGCGUUGUUCGGAAUUACUGGGCGUAAAGCGCGCGUAGGCGGACCUGCAAGUCGGGGGUGAAAGCCCGAGGCUCAACCUCGGAACUGCCUUCGAUACUGCGGGUCUCGAGUCCGGGAGAGGUGAGUGGAAUUCCUAGUGUAGAGGUGAAAUUCGUAGAUAUUCGCAAGAACACCAGUGGCGAAGGCGGCUCACUGGCCCGAUACUGACGCUGAGGCACGAAAGCGUGGGGAGCAAACAGG
rnacentral:rRNA from 1 species